rnacentral:rRNA from 1 species
GCAGAGCAUCCUACGGGAGGCAGCAGUGGGGAAUAUUGCACAAUGGGCGCAAGCCUGAUGCAGCCAUGCCGCGUGUAUGAAGAAGGCCUUCGGGUUGUAAAGUACUUUCAGCAGUGAGGAAGGUGGAUAUGUUAAUAGCAUAUUCAUUUGACGUUAGCUGCAGAAGAAGCACCGGCUAACUCCGUGCCAGCAGCCGCGGUAAUACGGAGGGUGCGAGCGUUAAUCGGAAUUACUGGGCGUAAAGCGCAUGCAGGUGGUUUGUUAAGUCAGAUGUGAAAGCCCGGGGCUCAACCUCGGAAUUGCAUUUGAAACUGGCAAACUAGAGUACUGUAGAGGGGGUAGAAUUUCAGGUGUAGCGGUGAAAUGCGUAGAGAUCUGAAGGAAUACCGGUGGCGAAGGCGGCCCCCUGGACAGAUACUGACACUCAGAUGCGAAAGCGUGGGGAGCAAACAGGAUUAGAUACCCUCGUAG